CUAUUUCUUGGGCCGCUCCUGCAGCAUAUGGAGGUUACCAGGCUAGGGGUCUAAUCGGAGCUGCAGCUGCCAGCCUACGCUAGAGCCACAGCAACUCGGGAUCCGAGCCAUGUCUGCAACCUACACCACAGCUCACGGCAACACCGGAUCGUUAACCCACUGAGCAAGGGCAGGGACCGAACCCGCAACCUCAUGGUUUCUAGUCAGAUUCGUUAACCACUGCGCCACGACGGGAACUCCCUAUUUUUAAUUUUCAAUUUAUUUAUUUUUUGCUUUUUAGGGCUACACCUGCAGCAUAUGGAAGUUCUUAGGCUAGGAGUUGAUUUGGAGCUGCAGCUUCUGACCUACACCACAGGUACAGCCAGCAAUGCCAGAUCUGAGCCAAGUCUGUGACUCACAUCACAGCUCACAGCAAUGCUGGAUCCUCAACCCACUGAUCGAGACCAGGGAUUGAACCUGCAUUCUCAUGGAUACUAGUCGGGUUCGUUACUACUGAGCCACAAUGGGAACUCCCAUAUUAGCUUCUUUUUAGUAGCUACAUCAUUUUUGUGAAUAAAAUUGUAUUUAUCCUGUCCAGCACACUGUCCCAGUACAGAUCUGGUUAGCAACUCAUUCUUUGGAGGUUCCACAGCAGUUUGCAUAUACUGCUAUUAUAAGAUUAAGUACAAAAGCAAUCUAUUUUUAUUGUGUUUUGAUUUUAAUUUCUUCUAAUUAUUUUAUUGUGUUCUUCCAUUUGACUAUGAACUCUGCAUAGGUAAAUUUCUCAUCAUUUUGUUGUAGUGGUUAAUAACAUAUCUAUUAUUCAAAACAGAUAAAUGUUUGUCAAAUACAUGUUGCAAUAAUCUCUCUACAGUGCUUUUUAAAGAUAACUCUAGUAAACAAAGAUCAUUGUACCAUAAAGUUACAUGAAAAUUUUGAGAGAAGAGGCCCAUCGAGGUUAAUAAGCCCAUCUCCUUUCCUAGAGGCCUGCUUACACCAAACCAUCCAGAUGAAGGAUUGUUUAACUUGGGUCUAAUAAGCAACAGGAAAAAGGAUUAUUAAACCCAAGUGCUUAGCCAGGUGUAUGCCUCCAAGUGUACAAUGAUUGAAAACAUCAUGUAAGAUAUGAACGAAUUACCAUGAAGAAUCAGCACCACCACGGCAAAGUAAUCAGUUUUAGCAGACUAAAGCCACAAACAAACCUGUUCCAAGAAACCUGAUGCUGGAAACUUCCAGCGAAUUCUGCUGCCUUGGCAGUUAUGUGCCAUCCAACAGCCUGAACCAGAGAACUUAUUUAGAGAACAGCAUGCCUUUCGGGAGAUUGCAAUGCCUCUGACCUUAAACUAAACAUAGGGGCCUGGAAGAUUAUGGUUCUAUUUCUGUUGUUUGUGGGUGGUGUUUUUUUUUUUUGGCCACGCCCAAGUUAUGUGGCGUUACCCAGUCAGGGCUUGAACCUGCGCCACAGCAAUGAUUAGAGCCACACCAGUGACAAUGUCGGAUCCUUAACUCCAUGCUGGUUUUUUGUUUUUAUGUCCUUCAUAGCCUUUCUUGGAGUUCCCUGGUGGUCUAGCAUUUAAGGAGCCAGCAUUGUCACUGCUGUAGCACAGAUUCUAUCCCUGGCCUGGGGAACUUCUUCAUACCACUGGCAUGGCCAGAAAAAAAAGAAAAAUCCUUUCUUAAUUGGUCUUCUAUUAAUACAAUUCUUUGGUAACACUGCCUCAAGACUUUAAACUUUUCUGGAUUUUGCAAACCUGAUGUAUAUUUUCCAGAUUAGUGUUGAUAGCAAUGCCUCCAGGUGAUAAUUAAUAGAAAAUGUUGAAACAGGUUCUCCUGACAAUGAGAUCCUGCAUGCACUGAAGUGAUAAGGAACCUAAAAUGCAGGUGUGGUUGAAGGUGCAUGCAGUCACAGCUCUUUUCCUUUCUGUCCAAAACUUCCCAUCAGAAAAGCUGCAACCAAGAGUUCCCAUUGCAGCUCAGUAGGUUAAGAACCUUACACAGAGUUCAUGAGGAUGUGGGUUCAAUCCCUGUCCUUGCUCAGUGUAUUAAGGAUCUGUCAUGGCCGCGAGUUGCGGCACAGGCCUCGGCUACAGCUCCAAUUUGACCCCUAGCCUGGGAAUUUCCAUAUGCCACAGAUAUGGCCAUAUAAAGAGGAAGGAAGGAAGAAAGAAAGAAACAGAAGUUACAACCAAAAUAAAUGAAGCUGUUGCUUGAUUAUGGAAGGGUGUUUCAAUUACCUGGGAAGAAGGGAAGACACUAGCCCUUCCUUAUCAGCUCCUGAGAAGAUGAAAGAGGGAACAUACCUGAGGCACAGUCAGUCCCCAGUGACUGACUUUGUCCCCAGGCCCACACACACAGCCUCUCCGAAGACCCUCAGCAGCCUGAGGCAGAGAAUGCUAAGCACUGGUGAGGCGUCAAGGUCUAGGGAGUUCACUGGGCUGGUUUCUUAGGGAGCAGGCACUAAAGACGGGAGAGGAAAAGGCCUUAUUCACCUAGGACCUGAUCUGUAAAGAAAGUUGUCUCUGGGUGGUGGUCUUUGCCACCAUAAGUCUGCAGGAUCAGCAAGGUCAUGCUUUUUUGUUUGUUUGUUUUUUGCUUUUUAGGGCCACACCUGCAGCAUAUGGAAGUUCCCAGGCUAGGGGGCGAAUCAGAGCUGUAGCUGCCGGCCUACCCCACAGCCACAGCAAUGCCAGAUCCAAGCCACAGUUCAUGGCAAUGCCAGAUCCUUAACCCACUGAUGGAGGCCAGGGAUCAAACCCGCACCCUCAUGGAUACUAGUCAGGUUCAUUUCUGCUGAGCCACAACAGGAACUCCAGCAAGGCCCUGCUCUGAAUUCACAGCAUGAUCCCAGGUGGAGAGCAGCAGGGGCAGACCCAUAAAGCGGCCAUGGGCAAUUAGACAGAGGCAGUCAGGCCUGGUAGAACCACACUGUGCAGGUACAGAGAAGAGGCCCAAACUGUAGCCAGUUCUGCAGACAGUGGCCACAGGGUCUUACCAAGAUGACAGAACCCAGGUCACAGCCACGCUAUGAAGGGGCUCAAGUCUGUACCCUCUUUCCUGCCAAAUUUAUAAAUACCAAUGCUAGGAAAAGCUAAAAAGCAUUUUCAUAUCCCACCACUGCUGGAACUUCUUUCCAUCAACCACUUCACAAAAUCCCCUCCUAAUGCGGAAGAAAUCUUCUUAUGUUUCUUUCUGUUACUUUAGGAAAUAUGAACUAAAUAUUUUUCAGGUAAAAUAUAUAAAUAUUCAUUGUAAAAUAUUUAUUUAUUUAUUGUCUUUUUAGACCUGUGGCAUAUGGCGGUUCCCAGGCUAGGGGUUGAAUCAGAGCCGUAGCUGCUGGCAUAUGCCACAGUCCCAACAACUCAGGAUCUGAGCCUCAUCUUCGACCUACACCACAGCUCACAGCAACGCUAGGUCUUUAACCUGCUGAGUGAGGCAGGGAUCGAACCCACAUCCUCAUGGAUACUGGUUGGUUUCAUUAACUGCUGCGCCACAACAGGAACUCCGUAAAAUAUUUAAAUGUUUAUAUUAUAAGUCAUUCUCUGGCCCCAAAAGUGUUCCCUGCUGAGGACUUGCUACAUCUUAGAAUGGAAGGCUGUGUUUUGGCUUGUUUUAUUUAUGGAUUUCGGAAAAAGAGAGUAACUAAAGCUGAUCAAAUAGACCAUCCUACACUUUACCAAAAAAAAAAAAAAAAAAAUUUUUUUUUUUCUUCUUUUGCUUUGGGCUUGUGACCAGCAUGGAAAAGUUUUAGUCUCUAAAUAGACUCUUUCAGGAAGUUUUGGAUGAUGGUGAAGGAUGGUAUAAAGAGAGAUGUUGUGACACCCUAACUUCAGCCUUGAUGAAUAGUUCCUUAUGCAAAAACUACAGUGACUCGUGGGCUUCAGGGAUCCGGUCUUUCAUUAAAUUAUGAGACAAGGAGAGUGACAGCUGGCAUUCAUGUCCCCUUGGCAGGCGGUCCAGCUCAGGCUUGCUGACUGAAGGAAUGAGUGUGGAGAACUCACCAGUUGUCUAACAUCUUGGCUCAGGCAUCUGGUCUUCAAGGGGUUCCUGAAGGAUUUGGGGAGCACCCCUGAUAGCCAUCUGCAUGCUGCAGUCAUCACCAAGUGCUGCUUCUUUACACUGCUUCAGAAAAAUGUAUGAGACUAUAGAUCUGAACUUGUCACAAUCACACUGAGGUUUGUCCUGGAAGAUUGUCCUUGAAAUAAAACUAAGAUGCCAAACUGCUCAGCUUCUCUGAAUGAGAAGUGGUUUUUUUCGUUGCUUUUUUGUUUGUGUUUGUUUUUGUCUUUUCGCCAUUUCUUGGGCUGCUUCCACGGCAUAUGGAAGUUCCCAGGCUAGGGGUCGAAUUGGAUCUCUAGCCACUGGCCUACACCACAGCCACAACCAUGCCAUAUCCGAGCCGUGUCUGUGACCUACACCACAGCUCACAGCAACACUGGAUCUUUAACCCACUAAGCGAAGCCAGGGAUCAAACAUGCAUCCUCAGGGAUGCUAGUCAGAUUGGCUUUCCAAUGAGCCACGAUGGGAACUCUGGAGUACAGGAUUCUUAAGAAUCUCAGUUGGUUAGUUGGUCACCAGGAAAGGACAGCGAAGCCUUUAUAGUUCGCUGACUUUCCUGAGGUCUCAUUUUACGUUUCAAGACCUCUGUCUUCUAAUAUCACUCAGCUGAAAAGAGAUACAGUAGGUGUAAUCAAAGGAGAAGAGUAAAAGAGAGGAAACAGCUGGCAUACGUUAACCACCUUUAAGAGCUUAAAAAACCACCUGGGAUUCCAAAGAAUCAUGACAUGCGUGAUAAUUCCUAAGCAUAAUCAUUCUUUGGUGAGAGAAGCCACAGAAGAGACGCAAGAGUGAAUAUAUAUCCAACAAAAGGGUCUCUGUUUAGCACCCGGAAGAAAAAAAAUCAAAUUACCCCUAUGUCUAAACAGUAAGGUCAUCUUCCAAUGAACUCAAAAACGUAAUACUUCUAAGAUAUACUCCUGGCCCCAUUCCAAUUACUAUAUGACCUUGAAGAAACUGCUUUUGAAGUUUUCUGUGUCUAUAAAACCUGGAUACUAGUACUAUCUGUCCCAGAUGGCUAGAAUUGGAUGAAUUAAUUAGUUCAAGCUGGAAAG
rnacentral:lncRNA from 1 species